GGGCCCGCACAAGCGGUGGAGCAUGUGGUUUAAUUCGAUGAUACGCGAGGAACCUUACCAGGGCUUAAAUGUAAGUUGCAUAAAUCAGAGAUGAAUCUUUCUUCGGACUACUUACAAGGUGCUGCAUGGUUGUCGUCAGCUCGUGCCGUGAGGUGUCAGGUUAAGUCCUAUAACGAGCGCAACCCCUAUCGUUAGUUGCCAUCAAGUAAAGUUGGGAACUCUAGCGAAACUGCCGGUGUAAACCGAGAGGAAGGUGGGGAUGACGUCAAAUCAUCACGGCCCUUACGUUCUGGGCUACACACGUGCUACAAUGGCCGGUACAGAAAGCAGCCACUAUGCGAAUAGGAGCUAAUCUUUAAAACCGGUCUCAGUUCGGAUCGCAGUCUGCAACUCGACUGCGUGAAGCUGGAAUCGCUAGUAAUCG
rnacentral:rRNA from 1 species